rnacentral:rRNA from 1 species
GACGAACGCUGGCGGCGUGCUUAACACAUGCAAGUCGAACGAAGUGGCGAACGGGUGAGUAACGCGUAAUCAACCUGCCCUUCAGAGGGGGACAACAGUUGGAAACGACUGCUAAUACCGCAUAAUGAAGGAGGGGAUUGCGUCGGAUUAGCUAGUUGGAGGGGGAAAGGCCCACCAAGGCGAUGAUCAGUAGCCGGGCUGGGAGGUGGAACUGCCACAUUGGGACUGGGACACGGCCCAGACUCCUACGGGAGGCAGCAGUGGGGAAUCGUUCGCAAUGGACGAAAGUCUGACGGAGCAACGCCGCGUGAGUGAUGACGGCCUUCGGGUUGUAAAGCUCUGUUAAUCGGGACGCGGUACCGGAAUAGAAAGCCACGGCUAACUACGUGCCAGCAGCCGCGGUAAUAC